UACGGAGGGUGCGAGCGUUGUCCGGAAUCACUGGGCGUAAAGGGCGCGUAGGCGGUUGGGGUAGUCCGUGGUGAAAGCUCGUGGCUCAACUACGAGUCGGCCAUGGAUACUCCUCGACUUGAGCACUGUAGAGGCAGGUGGAAUUCCGGGUGUAGCGGUGGAAUGCGUAGAGAUCCGGAAGAACACCGGUGGCGAAGGCGGGUCUCUGGGCCGUAACUGACGCUGAGGAGCGAAAGCAUGGGGAGCGAACAGG
rnacentral:rRNA from 1 species